UUCCGGGUUGGUAAAGAAUCUGUUGUACAGGGGACGAAUAAGCAAUGCGAAUAGUUUUGUGUAUGACGGUACCUGUUUAGAAAGCUCCGGCUAACUACGUGCC
rnacentral:rRNA from 1 species